GACCGCGUAGCUCAGUUGGCAGAGCAUUGGGCUAGUAUUCCAAAGGUCGUAGGUUCGAUUCCCACUGUGGCCA
rnacentral:tRNA from 1 species